rnacentral:rRNA from 1 species
GUAGUCUCGCACAGAUGCAUAUCAAUAAGCGGAGGAAAAGAAACUAACAAGGAUUCCCUUAGUAACGGCGAGUGAAGCGGGAAGAGCUCAAAUUUGAAAUCUUCAAGGUUUUACCUUGACGAAUUGUAGUUUAAAGAAGUGUUUUCUGUUGAAGUUUUGGUAAAAGUUCUUUGGAAUAGGACAUCAUAGAGGGUGAGAAUCCCGUAUUUGACCAUUAUUUUCAGCUGUGUGAUACACUUUCAAAGAGUCGGAUUGUUUGGGAAUGCAGUCCAAAAUGGGUGGUAAAUUUCAUCUAAAGCUAAAUAUUGGCGAGAGACCGAUAGCGAACAAGUACCGUGAGGGAAAGAUGAAAAGAACUUUGAAAAGAGAGUUAAACAGUACGUGAAAUUGUCAAAAGGGAAGCGUUUGACACCAGUGUUGUUUUCUCGAAAAUCAAUUAAAAAGAGUUUGAUUUUGUUGUGUAUUGACCUUAACAGCUUGCAUUUCAAUUUUCUUGCUUUUUUUAAUGCACUUUUCGUUUAACAAGUCAACAUCAGUUUCUUUUGUUGUAAAAAGGUCAUUGGAAGGUGGCUUUCUUUUCGGAGAAAGUGUUUAUAGCCUUUGACUCCUGCAAUCGGAGAGACUGAGGUCUGCAGCGUAGAUCCUUCGGGGUUAGAUACAUUUGUGCUAAGUUAUAGCUUUUUAUAGACAACUUGUUGACUAUGAUUAGUCUUGUAGCUUACUCGCUUAUGCUAUUUUACCUACGCUUAGGAUGUUGAGCGCAUGUCUCUCUCU